AUGGGCAGUAUUCGAUAACUCCUGUGACAUUGAGCACUUCCAUUCUAUAAAAUACCAGUUGCAACAGUCAAAACAAAUUGCUACCAUUGAAAAGCUUGUUAUUCAUCGUGAUAACAGCUUUCAAAAUGAUGAGAGAACUGUCGUUUAGUCUACAGUUACAAAAGAAAGAUCUAAAAGUACAAGUCAGAUCAUAGCCUUUUCGUCUUGACCUUCUGUGUAGUUAACACAACCAUUCAUAUAAUAUUCUUGACUAAUUACGGCUUGGUAAGAACAGUGCAGACGUGCAGUGGCUAGCUUCGCCACUGCGUCAUUUACAGCACCUUAACGGCAGAGUAUCCGAGUUUGGAGGUAGGUGCCGUUGGUGGCCAAGGCUAGUCGGCGAUCUAGCCUUGUCGGGCAAAUGACCGCAAUGGCAAACAUUAGGCAAAACACUGGCAAACAUUUAUGGCAAACUGGCAAAUGGCAAAACUGGCAAACAGCAAUGGCAAACAGCUAUGGCAAAACAGCAAAAAACGUAAUAAUAAGGCUA